rnacentral:lncRNA from 1 species
UUCGCAUAAUGACCAUAUUUGCCACACUUGUAGCACUCGACAUUGGAAUAAUUCGACCAUCCGCCUCUUCCACGACCACGUCUUCUUCCACGCCAAUUUUGUUGGUUUGAAUGCUCCUUCUCUUCAUAAUUCCCUUCUUGACCACGACCUUUUCCACCACGACCAUUUCCUCGAUCUCCACGACCACGACCUCUACCUCGAAUGCUUUGAGAAUAGAGAACCUUUUCGUCUUUGAUUGAUGCCUUGGUUUGAAGUGCUUGCUCGAGUGUCUC